rnacentral:rRNA from 1 species
GACGGAGGAUGCAGGUGUUAUCCGGAAUCACUGGGCGUAAAGCGUCUGUAGGUGGUUCAAUAAGUCAACUGUUAAAUCUUGAGGCUCAACUUCAAAAUCGCAGUCGAAACUAUUGGACUCGAGUAUAGUAGGGGUAAAGGGAAUUUCCGGUGGAGCGGUGAAAUGCGUAGAGAUCGGAAAGAACACCAACGGCGAAAGCACUCUGCUGGGCCGACACUGACACUGAGAGACGAAAGCUAGGGGAGCGAAUGGG